CUAAUACUCCCUCCGUUCGGAAUUACUUGUCUCGGAAAUGGAUAUAUCUAGAACUAAAAUACGUCUAGAUACAUCCAUUUCUGUGACAAGUAAUUCCGAACGGAGGGAGUACAAC
rnacentral:pre_miRNA from 1 species